rnacentral:rRNA from 1 species
AAGAGACAGCAGUAGCCGCGGGAAUACGGAGGGUGCAAGCGUUAAUCGGAAUUACUGGGCGUAAAGCGCACGCAGGCGGUCUGACAAGUCAGAUGUGAAAUCCCCGGGCUUAACCUGGGAACUGCAUUUGAAACUGUCAGGCUGGAGUCUUGUAGAGGGGGGUGGAAUUCCAGGUGUAGCGGUGAAAUGCGUAGAGAUCUGGAGGAAUACCGGUGGCGAAGGCGGCCCCCUGGACAAAGACUGACGCUCAUGUGCGAAAGCGUGGGGAGCAAACAGGAUUAGAUACCCCAGUAGUCCCUGUCUCUUAUAC